AUUGCUUCUCAACCUUUUGACUAAGAUCAAGUGUUGUAUCUGUUCUUAUCAGUUUAA
rnacentral:snRNA from 1 species